GACGAACGCUGGCGGCGUGCUUAACACAUGCAAGUCGAACGGAAAGGCCCUGCUUUUGUGGGGUGCUCGAGUGGCGAACGGGUGAGUAACACGUGAGUAACCUGCCCUUGACUUUGGGAUAACUUCAGGAAACUGGGGCUAAUACCGGAUAGGAGCUCCUUCUGCAUGGUGGGGGCUGGAAAGUUUCGGCGGUUGGGGAUGGACUCGCGGCUUAUCAGCUUGUUGGUGGGGUAGUGGCUUACCAAGGCUUUGACGGGUAGCCGGCCUGAGAGGGUGACCGGCCACAUUGGGACUGAGAUACGGCCCAGACUCCUACGGGAGGCAGCAGUGGGGAAUAUUGCACAAUGGGCGGAAGCCUGAUGCAGCAACGCCGCGUGCGGGAUGACGGCCUUCGGGUUGUAAACCGCUUUCGCCUGUGACGAAGCGUGAGUGACGGUAAUGGGUAAAGAAGCACCGGCUAACUACGUG
rnacentral:rRNA from 1 species